rnacentral:lncRNA from 1 species
CGUUAGGAAUUAUAUGUAUUUAAUGGCUAUAAAAAGGGGUUAUUUGUGCAAUUAUGUGUUAUGUGUUUAUCUGCCUAUGUGGUAUGUAUAUGCGAAGGGUAGAUAUAUAUAGGUCUUAAUACUUUUCAGAGUUAGUUAAUUUGUCUGAUCCGACGGUUAAAAUACUAUUUUACUAUCGUAUAGAAUUGAAGACAUUGACCGAGGCAUUGAUCGAGAAGUGAUUGAAAUGGGUAUCCAGAAUUAGCCAAGUAGUGUUGCAAGUUGAAGUAGGGCGGAGAUUUGUUAUAGAUAAAAGCUUGUCAGAAGCUGGCAGAAAGGAAUGAUAUGGCGGUAUAUAGUAUUAUUAGAAAUCUGACCUAGACACCAGAGUUAAGGCAAGUACUUCUACCUUUCUCUCGCAAUUUAGAAGCAAGUAUUUCUACCCUACUCCUCUAGUACCUAUAGAUACUAAAACCUUCUUUAUAUCAUGAUUCAAAUUAUUUGCAAUUACUUUCUUGUGAAGCAUAUCUAGUACUUUUAAACCUUUUGGUUGAACGGAUAACACUUUUGGUAUCGACUCUACACUAUGAUAUGCAUAAAGAAAUUGUUUUAACAAAAUGUUGUUCUGGCUCUUGAAUUACAUGAUAGAACUGCAGAUUGUUUUAAAAAUUAAACUGUUGGGUUGUUUUUGCGUAAGAGGCUCGGGCACCGGCCCAGCGUGAAAGGUGGCUCCUUAAGCCCGGAUUACCGGAAUUCGUAAUAUUUGUCAACCUUGCUGAAUAAGCUUGGUUUAUGGACUAUAGCAUGACUGAUCAUCUGUUAUAGCCAGGUGUCCAAUUAAUUUUAAAGCCCAAUAAAAUUGUGAAUAGUUUAAAAAGAAGUUACCCUGCCUUCAAGAGAUAUUUGCUUAUACAUUCAUUUCUGCAGUUUUAAAUAUUUUCACUUCUUUAUUAUGGCAUUGCUGUACAACAAAUAUCAAUUUCAUUUUGUUAUUCUUGCUGAGCAUUAUUGCUCAUUCUUGCUAUUCCUUCUAACCCUUUUCAGCUAGGAAUAAAGAUGAUUCACUUAAGACUAGGCAAGGAUUGCAAGUGGUUGAGUUUCAAGCAGAUGGACAGGUAGAGUAUUUAGGACGAUGUCAUUAAGACUAGAUGCAGUUGGAGUUCUGCAAUUCAAUUCAGUUGGAAAUUAGAUUUGUUUAUUUGGUUAUCAGCUACUCUUCUUAUCGAGGUUUAGCUGAUAAUGUUGUUUAAUUUGUAAAUAAGAUUUUAUAGUUUUAGUUUCUGAUUUCAAUGCUGUAGCCUGUAUGCGAUCCUGUUUUCAGGGGGUGAAAUUGAUUUUGAAUUAAAGACCUUCUUUUAAAAAAAAAAAAUAUCCAGGUUUAGAAAUACUUGUUUUUACUUUCUUCCAAAAAUACAGGUUUUAAAUUGUUUUUCUUUUAAUGGCUCAAAACUACAGGUUUUAAAUUAUUUUUAUUUACACGUGGCACCAGAUCUAGACCCCCGGAUUUGAGGGAUGUCACAGUUGGUAUCAGAGCUACAGGUUAUAAGUUAUUGAAAUCAGAAUGUAGGUUGUAACUUGUCUAAUAAGAUAGACACGUUAAGUGAAACCUCACAUAUAGGUAAGUUCAGAUUAGUGGUGUAACCUCAUAUAGAGGUAUCGUAAGACUAUUUGGGGAUAGUCCUUCUGAGCAUAAUAAAAUGAAGCUAAACGAUUAUGUUUAAGUGAUUAUGGUUAUAGACACAACAAUUCCUAAUUCUAGUUCUUCCAGUCCCUAGUGGCCUAGUUUAUUGACCAAUUCAGAUUUAUAUCAUUGUAAGAGGGUCAAAGUUAGACCUAUCAACAGAACCUUCAAGCUAGAACCAGUAGAGAUUCUCACACAGUCUAAUGUAUCCUUUAUAGUAUCUUCCAAGUGUUGAGUAUUAUUUGAAGAGUCACCUUUUGAUUCUUGUCAGAGAUAUCUAGAAUUGGUGAAAGAAUAGAGGUGUUAACAAGUCCGAGUUUACAGCUUUGUAUAUAGUUAAGUAGUGAGCGUUAGAGCUACGUAGAGUUUGUGUUAGAUUAUUCGAUCUAGUACUUAUGUGUGAGUUAAGAUGUCAACGCUCUAUGGUGAUGAUUGUAUAAAGUUGGAUAAGACUUUUGACCGACAACGAUAUCAAUGAUGGGAUCUUCAGAGGCUAUUACUAGUCAACGAUAAUAUAUGCAAGUGGUCACUAAAACGUCAAGAAAAAUCACUAGAAUCAGAACGAGUCAUCAAAAGAAUCGAUCAAAAAGACAUCUGUGAGAAUCCUGGCAAUACCUUCCUCAUUGUUGAUAUAUUGAUUUCUUUCCCCAUCAAUGAUUUGUUCUGACAUCACUUUAAAAAAAAAAAAUAUUUGAUAAAGAGUAUAUUUUUACCUUUCACUCGAGUUCUCGAAUGAUACUUGUGCUUACUGUCACACCUAUAGAAUCUAUUCAAUCUUGGUAAUUUCGAACCCUUUCAUAUUCUCUACUCUAACUGAGAUGAACAACCCUACCUAUAGGGGACACAAGGACUACCUGUCUGUGUGAUAGGAGUUGGAUGGGACGCCAUCACUUGUGUGUGUUGUACAUUACAAGAAGGUUAACUACCUUUAGUAGUGUCUUAAAUUAGACACGCAACACCGAGUUCUAUAGACCAUAUUGAUCUCUCAGUUAUUCAUUUAUUUCAAUCACGUAACACUUGCUCCAAUAUGUGAAAUCUGUCAUAUCUUUUACCUUCAAGAUUCUUCUAAUCUCUAAUAGUUGGAGGUAUGCCAACCGAGUUGCCAAUAUGAAUUAAGACUUUGUAGUAAGAAGCACCAGGGAUGAAAGCGAAUGACAAUGCUGGUUAUAUCAGAAAGGAAUAUUAUGGAUUAUAGAGAUCGUACACUCUAGUUUUCUUUUUGAUGAUUCCGAGGACGGAAUCUUUUUAAGGGGGGUAGAUUGUGACGACCCGGAUUUUCAGAAAUUAUUUUAUUAUUUUUAUUCAUGAUUAUUCGAGACAAAUGAGGAAUAAAUUUCAAUAUUUUAUUCUAGUUUGAUAAUUUUCAAAAAUAUUUGUUUAAAUUAUUUUCCUAGUCAUUGUGAUUAUGAGAAAAUAUCUGUUGAUUGUACAAUUAUAUGUUACGAGAUUUAAUUGAAUUAGUUGUCUACUAUUAUGUCUGUGUGUGCAUUUAUUUUUACUUUUAAUAUUACUGUAUUGUUUUAUUGAAAUUUAUUAUCCUCUUAAAUGGAUAUUUAUUUUUGUAAAAAUACAAAGAUAAUUUCAAAAAUUAUUUUAAUUGCUCGAUAGUGAUCAUAAAUAUGUUUAGAAGUUUUUAAAAUAUUAAAAAUCCAAUUUCUACAAGGACAUGAUUUUUAAUUAGUUUCUAAACGCAGCUAACUUCUUAAUUUUGUAUAAAUUUUGAAAAUGCUCUAUAAAUCUUGAAACUUUUAUUUUAUGAGUUUUAUAAUAUUCGGUAAUUUAUAAAAUUAGUUUGUUAAUUUUUCGAGAAAGUUUUAAUGCGAGUUAUCCCGUAAAUCAACUAAAUAGCGGGUGUUUGGAUGAUUAUUCAGCUUAAAAUAAAACGUGGCAGCCUUUGGCCAAACCACGUGCCCUGCUUUUCACCACCGCCAUCCCUUUUCUUCAUUUUAUAUACAUCAGCCUCUCAAUCUCUCUCUCUCUCUCCCUGUGAAAUCCUCCAUCUCUCCCUCUCCGCUCCUCUUUCUUUUCUCACCCAUCUUCCUCUCUUUCUUGGCAUCACCGUCCCUUCCCUGCAGCCGCCGAAUUAUGCCGCUGCCACCUCUUUCCGGCGACCACCAUAGCCCUGCACCAAUUAUAAAUCAGUGGGUAUAAAGCUUAAUUUCUCUUUGUCAAAUCAGUUCUAUAUAAACGUAUAUAUACAUGUGGUGUUGUGUUUAUAUGGUUUAAAUUGAUUUAUAUAAUCGAUUUAUGUGUGCUUGUAUGUAUAUAAACUGAUUAUAUGCUGGUUAUUGAAAUUUGAAGGUUGAUUGAAUUUUUGAGAUUGAGAUUGGUGUUAGUAAUCGUAUGAUUGAAUUGUGUGCUUAAUUGAUAUUUGAAUUGGUUGUUGGAGGUUCAUUAUAAAUGGUGCGCCAACUAGUAGUGUAAUCGGAUGACUUGGGUACUUGAUUUAUGGGAAUAUAUAACUGAGUAUUAAAGCUUUAAGGUCUGAGAUUUUGUGUAAAUGUUUUCAGAAUGGUGUUUUAAGAGUUUAAGUAUUGGGCUAAAAAAAAUUUAGAUUUACACAUAAUCGGUUGAAUUGUAAGUUGCUGCUGAUCUGUUUUGCAGUAAAAUUCUGGGCUUCUAGAGUCGAAUUAUAUGCUUAAUAUUUUUGUGGUUAUGUGCUCCUCAGAGUCUAGUUUAUGUGCGCAAAAGAAUCGAAUCAAUUCGAUUAGCGAGCUAGGAGAUAUGACCGUUUUAGUAUAGUAUGGUGCUGAAAAUUCUGGGCAGGUUUGUCCUGUUCUAGGCUCUGUUUUACUGCUUUAAACUUGAAGUUUCUUUCUGAAAAUUUUACUGUAGGUUGGAAUAAUAUUCAGGAGUGUCUCAUAAAAAUUUUGUAUUUAAAAGAUAAAUUUUCAAUUUAUUAAAAAUCAUAGACCGAGGGCUGUUUGAACUAUUUGUUCUAGUUUUUCUUUCUUUGCUAGUGCAUAGUAUGAGGUUAUACUUGGCUAAUUGCAUAUGAUUGAUUAUUACAUUGAUUGGCUCGGUUAACCUUUAUAUCUAAUUAAACGUGCUUUGCGUAUAACAAAUUAGUAAUCCUGCUAAAAGAUUUUAUUAUAUGUUCACUACAAGUCAAGACAGAUUUUCUGUUCACUGCAAGCCAAGGGAUCUUUUUUUAUAUUAAUAAUUCAUGUGUUAGCAAUGGUAUUGGUUGGUUGUUGGUAUUGCAAACAGGUGGAUAGUCCGAUAAACAGAGGAGAUGAUGCCGAAUUUUCGUUAGGAAUUAUAUGUAUUUAAUGGCUAUAAAAAGGGGUUAUUUGUGCAAUUAUGUGUUAUGUGUUUAUCUGCCUAUGUGGUAUGUAUAUGCGAAGGGUAGAUAUAUAUAGGUCUUAAUACUUUUCAGAGUUAGUUAAUUUGUCUGAUCCGACGGUUAAAAUACUAUUUUACUAUCGUAUAGAAUUGAAGACAUUGACCGAGGCAUUGAUCGAGAAGUGAUUGAAAUGGGUAUCCAGAAUUAGCCAAGUAGUGUUGCAAGUUGAAGUAGGGCGGAGAUUUGUUAUAGAUAAAAGUUUGUCAGAAGCUGGCAGAAAGGAAUGAUAUGGCGGUAUAUAGUAUUAUUAGAAAUCUGACCUAGACACCGGAGUUAAGGCAAGUACUUCUACCUUUCUCUCGCAAUUUAGAAGCAAGUAUUUCUACCCUACUCCUCUAGUACCUAUAGAUACUAAAACCUUCUUUAUAUCAUGAUUCAAAUUAUUUGCAAUUACUUUCUUGUGAAGCAUAUCUAGUACUUUUAAACUUUUUGGUUGAACGGAUAACACUUUUGGUAUCAACUCUACACUAUGAUAUGCAUAAAGAAAUUGUUUUAACAAAAUGUUAUUCUGGCUCUUGAAUUACAUGAUGGAACUGCAGAUUGUUUUAAAAAUUAAACUGUUGGGUUGUUUUUGCGUAAGAGGCUCGGGCACCGGCCCAGCGUGAAAGGUGGCUCCUUAAGCCCGGAUUACCGGAAUUCGUAAUAUUUGUCAACCUUGCUGAAUAAGCUUGGUUUAUGGACUAUAGCAUGACUGAUCAUCUGUUAUAGCCAGGUGUCCAAUUAAUUUUAAAG